CCUACGGGAGGCAGCAGUAGGGAAUCUUCCACAAUGGGCGAAAGCCUGAUGGAGCAACGCCGCGUGGGUGAAGAAGGUCUUCGGAUCGUAAAACCCUGUUGUUAGAGAAGAAAGUGCGUGAGAGUAACUGUUCACGUUUCGACGGUAUCUAACCAGAAAGCCACGGCUAACUACGUGCCAGCAGCCGCGGUAAUACGUAGGUGGCAAGCGUUAUCCGGAUUUAUUGGGCGUAAAGGGAACAAAGGCGGUCUUUUAAGUCUGAUGUGAAAGCCUUCGGCUUAACCGGAGUAGUGCAUUGGAUACUGGGAGACUUGAGUGCAGAAGAGGAGAGUGGAACUCCAUGUGUAGCGGUGAAAUGCGUAGAUAUAUGGAAGAACACCAGUGGCGAAAGCGGCUCUCUGGGCUGUAACUGACGCUGAGGUUCGAAAGCGUGGGUAGCAAACAGGAUUAGAUACCCUUGUAGUC
rnacentral:rRNA from 1 species